AACGAACGCUGGCGGCAUGCCUAAUACAUGCAAGUCGAACGAACACUUCGGUGUUAGUGGCGCACGGGUGCGUAACGCGUGGGAAUCUGCCCUUGGGUUCGGAAUAACUUCGGGAAACUGAAGCUGAUACCGGAUGAUGACGUAAGUACAAAGAUUUAUCGCCCAAGGAUGAGCCCGCGUAGGAUUGGGUAGUUGGUGAGGUAAAGGCUCACCAAGCCUGCGAUCCUUAGCUGGUCUGAGAGGAUGAUCAGCCACACUGGGACUGAGACACGGCCCAGACUCCUACGGGAGGCAGCAGUAGGGAAUAUUGGACAAUGGGGUCAACCCUGAUCCAGCAAUGCCGCGUGAGCGAUGAAGGCCUUAGGGUUGUAAAGCUCUUUUACCCGAGAUGAUAAUGACAGUAUCGGGAGAAUAAGCCUCGGCUAACUCCGUGCCAGCAGCCGCCGUAACAC
rnacentral:rRNA from 1 species